rnacentral:sRNA from 1 species
GCUUCUCAGCUGAUGGAUGAUUUUGUGUUCUAAGAGCGAGGUCGGCCUUGUGGUUCGUGUGUGCUAUAUCUCCUUGACCUACUGAUUCUCUCUGGUGGACUCAUGAGGAAAAUCUGAGAUUCCUAUUUAUCCUACAUAUACUAAACAACACAUUUGCUUGUUUAUUGAGAAGAAUAUUGUAUAAUUAGAUGUCUGAGGUUUAAUUUCGAAAUUUUGCCCAUUUCUGCUCUAUUGAAAGAAUAAAUAUUCAAUAUACUCUUACAAACAGAUAUCUUUUCCAAAUAUUACAACUGGUUCCCACAUGGAUAGAUAACAAGAGGGUUGGAUUCUCCGGCUUCCCUCUUACUCCCAGAGUGACGAUAACUCGUAGAUGCGGAUAGAUAAAAUAGGAGACCACAGUACCGAAGGGCUGCUUUCCAGUUCUUUUCUCAUAAUGUUUAGUGAACGUGCCUCUUGAUUCAGCUAACUUGACUGUGUGUGUGUGUGUGUGUGUGUGUGUGUGUGUGUGUGUGUAUGUAAAAAUAGGUUAGUCGUAGAAUAAUAAAUAUAACUUACAUAAAAUUAACAAUAAAAUCAUUAUUAUUGAUUCAGCAUAACUGGUGCUUUCUGUGUUGUUAAACAGAGGAGUUCUGCUUAGAAACAAUCUGUGAUUUAAAUGUAAGCACCUCAUUACACCUACCAUGUGCACAACAGGGCGUUGUCCCCACCCUGGAGCAGUGCUUUCUAGUGGCUCAGAUGCUUUCAUUAGUGCUGCUUUCUGUGAUUUGCUCUGGAUAUUCUUGAAGGAAAUCUGAUAAAGCAUGGCUGUGACCAGGAACUGAACUAUGUGUAGGAACUGAAAGGCACCAUUGCAGGUUCUAAAGGACGGUCCUAGGUCAGACAUCAGGAUGACCAGUCCUACUUUAUAGUAUGUAUGGAGUUCUGAAAAGGCCAAACUUGGUGAGGAAACGGGAAAAAGAAAACAAACAUCAACAGCUCAGCGGUAGGGGAACAGAUAGCUUCAGGAGUUAAUCGCAUCAGCUGAGACCUGAGGAAGGCAGCAUGAGGAAAGAGAAGCCCGGCCGUGUGGCUGUCAGUUUAUAAAGCCUUCCAUGUAAGGCACCAUGUGUUUCCCAUCAUGUCUGAUGUUUUGUUUUAUUUACAGGACAGUGCUGCAUGCGAGGAGAAGGCUACUUACCUGUACCAGCCCCUCUCUUCUCCAGAAUGAUUUUAUUAGUACUGGUGGCGAGCAGCUGUGGUUUUGUUUAACUUGCUAGUCUCUCUGCCACUCUUCCCUUACGAUAUGAUUAGAUGUAACCCUUGUGGUCUUUCCAGCAAGGUCAGGUCAUUCAUCAUCUGUGAAAAGAAAGAAUUGGUCCAAACUUGUGUUUUUCAAGUCACAGUUUGAAAGCUUAGGACAUUUGCAAAUUGGCUGUAUUGAUUGAGGAAUGAAGAGUUUGGGAAAUUGUUCCUGCGGCUUCUAACUUGAUUAUCCAUCAACUCAGAAUGUUAGCGUGAAGCAACUGACUUGUCACUGGCUGCGAUGCUUUGAUUGGGCAACAGAUAGCAACGAGGAAGUCUUGAUGUUUGAUGUGACUCUCGGUAGUCUUCUUAGAAGGCCUUGGAAGUGUUCCCUUGUCCUUGGGAUGAGACAUUCAUGGUGUCAUAGGUGUCUGCCAGUCCACUUAGCUGUAGACAAUCCCUCUGUUGUGUUGUACUAUGGGUUCACUGGCCCUAGGAUUCUCUGCCCAUCUGCUUGGAGGAAGCUGGACUGUUUUACUAAGUGUAUACAGAUUUCCCCAGAUCUAACCAUGAAUGAAACGUAUCAUUGAGAGCACAAUAGGUGGGGUUUGCCUGAAUUCACUGGUUCACUGCUUUUCAUUGUUCAGUGCUAGACCUGACUGGUGCUUAGGGCAAGCCUCAUAUGGUGGGACUUCAGUACGUAUCAUGGCAAAUAAGAAGAUGGAGUGCCCAGAUCUUGAAAGUUUUAUGGGGACUGCAGAAAUUGAAGUGAUUAGGACUUCAGGAGAACACUUUAGCAAACACAUAGGACUUUUCCUGCCCCUUGGCUGUGAUUGAGGCAGAUCUUAGUAUUACAAUGUGUAAUGUUCGAACUUUUUUUUAGCAUCUUAUUAAUUUUUAAAGACAUAAUUUAAAUUAAUUUAAUUCUAAAGAGGUCUUUGAAUUAUGAUAUUAGGUACUAAUUUCCUGGAGAUGCCCUGUGUCAUCUGUGAAAUGAAAUUAGAAGAGACAAAUUAAUUUUAUGUAUUCAUAGCAAAAUCAGCGAACUAAAGUAAAUUGACAUGCAGAUAGUUCAGUAAGUAAAUCCUGUUGGCUUGGGGAGUGUUUUCACUCUGUUUAAUAGAACAAAGUUGUCACCAUUGCAGUGUCACACCGUCCCCCAUCAUGCCAGCUCUUGGUAUGUUUGCUUAAAGGAGGAUGGCUAGGUUUGUGUUUUUCAUCCUACAAAAGCAUAUUAGUAUGAUAAAAAUAUAUGCAUAUGCACGGACUCUGAGCAUUCACAUGUCUCAUGAGUUUGUCUUUUGGUCACACAGUCAAUAGGGCAAGCAAUAAAUGAGUGAUGCAUUGAGAAGCUUUCCUAAGUGUUUUCGUUGGUCUUAUAUUGUCUCAGCUGAACAUAUGACUCUUCCCCAUGGAGAACAUGUGACCCUAUUUAUGGAAAUGAUGAAACCCAUUUCAUAAAAGUAGAGGACAAAACUAAUUAGCUGCUUAUGCCAAAAGAGCAUCUUAUUUUUAGCAGCAGAGUUUGGUUUUCUGCAGUGGAUGAAUAGUUGUUUUAUUUGUUGAGCACUGUUUUUUUUCUAUGGUCCAAGAUUUAUUCAUGCUUUAGAGUGUGCAAGUUAAUAAUCACAGCCAACACUUACUUGUAUCACUUUAAAAGGAAAUAUUGGACAAUUUACAUAUCAGAUAGUUUAUUUCCCAAAUCUUAUUGUGGUCUCUGAAAUUUGUCUGGGUGAAUGUUUUUCUGGAGUUGAUUUGCUGUCAAAUCUUGUUAUUUUAAAUCAGUUCUGAUUCUUUUCUUAUUCUGCUCAAGAAAAUAACCAAUUAAAGUCAAUUAAAUAUAUAUGCUAUAAAUUUCUUUUUUGUACAUUAUUUAGAUAACUUGACAUGAGGGCAAAUUCAUUAAUUUGAUGAUUUAAAAAUUUAAAACAUUAAAAGUCUCAUUUUUAUGUUUUUCUUUUAUUGAAAGUAGAUUUUUUUUUCAUAAGGUAUCCUGAUUUCUGUUUCUCCUCCCUUUUUCCCUCGCAGUCCUCCACCCACCCAGUUUCUGCUGCCAUCUGGAUCUUGUGGCUUGUUAGAAAUCAAACAGGCUUCUAAGGGAUAAUAACAAAAAAUAAGAAAAAACCAAAUCUAACACACUGGAAUUACAUAAACCAAAGAAGCAGCUGAUAAGAGCAGGGGAGAAGGUACACGAAUUAGAAACUCAUAGUUCCCACAGUGAGGAGUCCCAUGAGAACAUAAACUUAACAUGUUGCAAACCUGGGAAGCCCUGGUGCAUGCGGUCUCAGUCUGAUUUGUUGGCUUAGUGGCUGUUAGUGAUGUCCACCAUCCCCUCUGGUUCUUACAUUCUUUUUUACCUCAUCUUUCUUAGGGUUUCCUGAGCUCUGAAGGGAGGGAUUUGAUCGAGACGUCCCAUUGAGGGUCAAGUCUCUGACUCGCACAUUGUCCCUCUGUGGGUGUGUGUAUUUGCUCCUAUCUGCUGCCGCAGGCAGCCUCUCUGAUGAUGGCUGGGCAAGACACUGAUCUGUGUGUGUCAGAAUUCCCUGAGGAGUCAUUUUACAUAAGUCUCUCAUUUCAUCCUAUCUGUUAAAAAGCACUUAAGGUAUAGAAGUGUGAGUCUAUUCUUUUAGUGUUUAUUGUACUCCAAAGACUGCAGGAUAUUAUAGAUUAGGGGUCGUUUGUGAUCAACAAGUUGUGGUUAUUUUCACUAUGUAUUUUUAUUAUUUUGAUAAAUGAUACAGAGAAAUAGCUCUAUCUCUAUAUCAUCUAUCUAUCUAUCUAUCUAUCUAUCUAUCUAUCUAUCUAUCUAUCUAUCUAAAAGUCUUAUUGUUAGGAAAGUUGCUGGGUAUGGGUACGUUUUCUUAAUUUGAAUUUUAAUUUCUUAACCUUCCUUCUUUCUGUAUUAAAUAGGAUUCAUUGAUAAAAUGUAUUGUGUAGUAACAAAAUAUCAAGAAAGGAAGGCCUGACCAAUAUAAUGGUUUUAGAACUCUGUGCGAGACUCUUUUACAGUUGGAAUUUUAUUUGUACUUAAUCCCUCAAGGUUUUUGGUUCACAUCUUUAGCAAAUCAUCAGUUAUAAGAAGAAAAUCCACUUCUGUCCUCUAAAGGCCCAAGGUUAAAAAAAUUCAUUUUUGAAGUAAUUGAUGAGCUCACUUCUGUUUGGUUAUUGUAGCCAUGGACUUUCUAUCUUAUAUACUCACUUACUUCUUCUCAUUUAUGGCUUUAUUCUCGGUAUCUAAAGUACCAAAUAGAAGCAAAUGCUAUCUAUUCAUUUCCACUUCUUCAAUUUUCAAUACUGUUGACAGUAAGAAAUUAAGCUGUUUUGAAGAAACAUCCCAGUGGGAAAAUAGAAUGGACCCCCUCGUUGUUCUUUGAGAGUGAACAUAUGCGAUGGCUCUGAGUAACCAUCUCUUAUGGAAAAGAGUAAACCAGGGCUGCCAGUGGAGCUGUAGCUCAGCUGGCACAGUGCUUGCCUGUCCACACUGUGUCCUGGAUUUGCAAUCAUUUGGGAGUGCACAGUGAGUCUGAGGCCUGCCUGAGAAAUCAGCUCUGGAAAGAAAGGGAAUUUACUUGUGAGGAAAAGUAUAAAACGCCCCUGGAAAAGCAUUUCCCUUUGCUAGGGCAUCUCAAACUCUUUAUAGAAUGUCAUUUAAUAAAAAGUUAAUUCAUGUCACGCACUCAAUAUUGUCUCUCUUUACAUACACAGGAGUGCUUUUAUUUGAAAUUUGGUAUUAGUAAACUAAUUAUGCAAUUCAUUUGUUAGAAUGAAAAGAAAAAUAUCCCAUAAAACUCUGAAAAAUAGAAAAAUAUUAGUUCUGUCAAACAUUAAGAUGUAAUAUAAAACUUCUAGAAAGAAAGAAAGAAAGAAAGAAAGAAAGAAAGAGAGAAAGAGAGAACUGUAGAGGUGCAGAGUAGGAAAUCCAGAAAUAGACUGGACUAAAUGCAUAGAGAAAUUCAGUUUACAGGGAAGCCGGGAUUUGAAAUCAGUAGAGAUGGAUGACUUUAAAUAAAAAUGACGUAAAACUGGACAUGUAUU